CCAGUGUAACCCAAGCAAAGCGUGCUUUAGUUUGAUAACCCGAAACUAAGUGAGCUACUCCAAGACAGCCUAUUAAUAGGGCAAACCCGUCUCUGUGGCAAAAGAGUGGGAAGAGCUUUGAGUAGAGGUGACAGACCUACCGAACUUAGUUAUAGCUGGUUGCCUGGGAAUUGGAUAGAAGUUCAGCCUCCCGAAUUCUUCGAUCCUCUCAGUCUUACCCCUUCUGAUACCCUAAGAAGUCGAGAGAGUUAGUCAAAGGGGGUACAGCCCCUUUGAAUCAAGAUACAACUUUUCCAGGAGGGUAAAGAUCAUAGUUAUAGAAGGUAAAAUAUUUUGGUGG
rnacentral:rRNA from 1 species